GCCUGCGUGGCUCAGUCGGUUGAGCGUCCGACUUCGGCUCAGGUCAUGAUCUCGCGGUCCGUGGGUUCGAGCCCCACGUCAGGCU
rnacentral:tRNA from 1 species